UACGAGGGGGGCGAGCGUUGUUCGGAAUUAUUGGGCGUAAAGGGUGCGUAGGCGGUUUGGUAAGUCUUGUGUGAAAUCUACAGGCUCAACUUGUAGUCUGCACGAGAAACUGCCGGGCUUGAGUAUGGGAGAGGUGAGUGGAAUUCCUGGUGUAGCGGUGAAAUGCGUAGAUAUCAGAAGGAACACCCAUGGCGAAGGCAGCUCGCUGGCCUAUAACUGACGCUGAGGCGCGAAAGCGUGGGGAGCAAACAGG
rnacentral:rRNA from 1 species